rnacentral:lncRNA from 1 species
CCCCGGUGAACAUCCGGAACCCAUUCGUCACUCCCGGUACAUUCCCAGUAAUGCCAAAAACUUUCCGGUAAUCAAAUGAGGUCAUCCUAUAUAUCAAUCUUCGUCUCCGGACCAUUCCGGAAACCCUCUUGACGUCCGUGAUCUCAUCCGGGACUCCGAACAACAUUCGAUAACCAACCAUAUAACUCAAAUACACAUAAAAUAUCGCCGAAGCUUAAGUGUGCACACC